rnacentral:hammerhead_ribozyme from 1 species
AUCCAAUUGACGAGUCCCAAAUAGGACGAAAUGCGCAUUAUCCUGGAU